rnacentral:rRNA from 1 species
UACGUAGGGUGCAAGCGUUGUCCGGAAUUAUUGGGCGUAAAGAGCUCGUAGGCGGUCUGUCACGUCGGCUGUGAAAACCCGAGGCUCAACCUCGGGCCUGCAGUCGAUACGGGCAAACUAGAGUACUGCAGGGGAGACUGGAAUUCCUGGUGUAGCGGUGAAAUGCGCAGAUAUCAGGAGGAACACCGGUGGCGAAGGCGGGUCUCUGGGCAGUAACUGACGCUGAGACGCGAAAGCGUGGGGAGCAAACAGG